AUUGAACGCUGGCGGCAGGCCUAACACAUGCAAGUCGAACGAGUGGCGGACGGGUGAGUAAUGUCUGGGAAACUGCCCGAUGGAGGGGGAUAACUACUGGAAACGGUAGCUAAUACCGCAUACCAUCGGAUGUGCCCAGAUGGGAUUAGCUAGUAGGUGGGGUAACGGCUCACCUCGGCGACGAUCCCUAGCUGGUCUGAGCGGAUGACCAGCCACACUGGAACUGAGUCACGGUCCAGAAUCCUACGGGAGGCAGCAGUGGUGAAGAUUGCACAAUGGGCGCAAGCCUGAUGCAGCCAUGCCGCGUGUAUGAAGAAGGCCUUCGGGUUGUAAAGUACUUUCAGCGGGGAGGCGUUACCGACAGAAGAAGCACCGGCUGACUCCGUGCCAGCAGCCGCGGUAAUUC
rnacentral:rRNA from 1 species